AAGGCAUGACGGUCCAAGUGCAUCUUUUUAUUGACCUCAUCUAAAAAACAGGGAUGUAAAUCGUGAAUAUCAUCAAUCAUAAGCAUAACCUGCUGAUAGCUAUGCAACAUACUAGAAUCCACAACAGAUACAAGCGGAAAACGGUUCAGGUCGCAUAACAAACACCAUAUUUAACAGACAUAUCUGCUCGCUUACACAACAAGAUACUGAUUUAUUCAUAUAGUAGCAUUACUCUUUCUUAGUGCCUACUUGAGUUCCUUCAGAAAGUCCUCAUUGUCAACCAGAACCUGCAGACGCAAAGCAUAACCAUAUUAUAAACUUUGUCAACAUAAAAGGCUUCUUAUAACACGAAUCACUCAAAACAAUGUUAUGCUCUAAUUCACGAUCCAGUUUGGUUGAGACAUCGAUGCACCGUGACCAUAUGUUUUCAUAAUCUAUCACUCAGCCGUCUUAUCUCUCCUGAUUCCUAUUUAUGAUUCAACCUUGUAAUCUAUCACUCAGCCAUCAUAAUCUAUUAUUCUUUAUAAAUUCUCAUGAAAAUAGUGCAGACGGAGAAGUUGCCAGUAGUACUAAAAGCUUACAGUUUUCCAGCCAUCAGGAUCUAGGAAAGAGGUAAUUUUAGUGUUGAUCCCAGGAAUUGGCCCCGGUUUACGAGUAACCUUUCCCCCA
rnacentral:lncRNA from 1 species